CAGUCGAGCGGACAGAUGGGAGCUUGCUCCCUGAAGUCAGCGGCGGACGGGUGAGUAACACGUGGGCAACCUGCCUGUAAGACUGGGAUAACUUCGGGAAACCGGAGCUAAUACCGGAUAAUGCUUUUGGACUCAUGUCCUUAAGCUGAAAGAUGGUUUCGGCUAUCACUUACAGAUGGGCCCGCGGCGCAUUAGCUAGUUGGUGAGGUAACGGCUCACCAAGGCAACGAUGCGUAGCCGACCUGAGAGGGUGAUCGGCCACACUGGGACUGAGACACGGCCCAGACUCCUACGGGAGGCAGCAGUAGGGAAUCUUCCGCAAUGGACGAAAGUCUGACGGAGCAACGCCGCGUGAGUGAUGAAGGUUUUCGGAUCGUAAAACUCUGUUGUUAGGGAAGAACAAGUAUCGGAGUAACUGCCGGUACCUUGACGGUACCUAACCAGAAAGCCACGGCUAACUACGUGCCAGCAGCCGCGGUAAUACGUAGGUGGCAAGCGUUGUCCGGAAUUAUUGNGCGUAAAGCGCGCGCAGGCGGUCCUUUAAGUCUGAUGUGAAAGCCCACGGCUCAACCGUGGAGGGUCAUU
rnacentral:rRNA from 1 species